UGUGUUGUAAUGAGCACUGGGUGUUAUAUGCAACUAAUGAGUCAUUGCACACUGCAUCAAAAACUAAUGAUGUACUAUAUGGUGGCUAACUGAACAUAA